rnacentral:misc_RNA from 1 species
AGGGGCAAGGGUGGAUCCCUCCUUACCAAGCCUGAUGAGGUAAUGUGCAGUGUCCACAACAUAUUGUCUGAUAAAAAAAAAGAAGAAAGACCUCUUAAUGGUGUUGUGUGUGGUGGGGUUAGAGCGCCCCCCUGAAAGGGGAGGGGGGGGUGGCUCGAGCACUCUCGCCCCCUACAAAUUUUCCCCCGCGCUGCCCAGCCUUCCCUCGCAAACGCUAGAGUAUCAUCAACUUGAACAUGCCAUAUGUGAAAAUAAAUAAACUCCUAUUCGAGGUACGCUUGGAUUUUGAUAAUUCCUCUCUGCGGUUUUGAUUCAGCUGGAACAGUGAGUGAUUUGCUCAAACAUGAUUUGCGGCGCAAUACCGUAUCUCUCCUUGUUGGAAUGAGAUGUGAUCUAAUUGUCUCAGAGCCUCUUUGACCAUUAUUCCGUAAAACCACCUUACACCCCUGUUCUUUCCAAUAAAACCCCCUAUUUACUCUUUCCUCGUCUUACUCCGCCCCGUUUCCCUUUCCCCCCACUCUCCUUUCCCCUCCCCCUUUCCUUUUCCUUC